rnacentral:rRNA from 1 species
ACGAACGCUGGCGGCGUGCUUAACACAUGCAAGUCGCACGGAAAGGCCCUGCUUUUGUGGGGUGCUCGAGUGGCGAACGGGUGAGUAACACGUGAGUAACCUGCCCUUGACUUUGGGAUAACUUCAGGAAACUGGGGCUAAUACCGGAUAGGAGCUCCUGCUGCAUGGUGGGGGUUGGAAAGUUUCGGCGGUUGGGGAUGGACUCGCGGCUUAUCAGCUUGUUGGUGGGGUAGUGGCUUACCAAGGCUUUGACGGGUAGCCGGCCUGAGAGGGUGACCGGCCACAUUGGGACUGAGAUACGGCCCAGACUCCUACGGGAGGCAGCAGUGGGGAAUAUUGCACAAUGUGCGGAAGCCUGAUGCAGCAACGCCGCGUGCGGGAUGACGGCCUUCGGGUUGUAAACCGCUUUCGCCUGUGACGAAGCGUGAGUGACGGUAAUGGGUAAAGAAGCACCGGCUAACUACGUG